rnacentral:ncRNA from 1 species
UCUUAUCAAGAGAGGUCGAGGGUAUGGCCCGGCGACGCCUCAGCAACCUGUAUCAUACAAGGUGCUAAUUCCUGCAAGUUCUUUGAACUUGAGAGAUAAGA